GGGUAAAAGCACUGUUUNGGUGCGGGNUGNGAGAGCGGUACCAAAUCGAGACAAACUCUGARUACCAAACGGGUACUUAGCCAGUCAGACGGUGGGGGAUAAGCUUCAUCGUCAAGAGGGAAACAGCCCAGACCAUCAGCUAAGGUCCCCAAAUAACCACUAAGUGAGAAAGGAGGUGGGAUUGCAUUGACAACCAGGAGGUUUGCCUAGAAGCAGCCAACCUUGAAAGAGUGCGUAAUAGCUCACUGGUCAAGCGAUCCUGCGCCGAAAAUGAACGGGGCUAAGUGGUUUACCGAAGCUAUGGACUUUUUAAUUAAUUAAGAAGUGGUAGGGGAGCGUUCCGUGGUAGUGAGAAGCACUAGCGGUAAGCAGGUGUGGACGAAACGGAAGUGAGAAUGUCGGCUUGAGUAGCGCAAAUGUGGGUGAGAAUCCCACACCCCGAAACCCCAAGGGUUCCGCCGCCAGGCUCGUCCGCGGCGGGUUAGUCAGGACCUAAGGCGAGGCCGAGAGGCGUAGUCGAUGGACAACGGGUGAACAUUCCCGUACCGUUGGUGGUUGGUGCAGAGGGACGGAGAAGGCAAUUGCCAGCCGGAUGUUGGUUACCGGUGUAAGCGUUCGAGGUGUUGAGGAGCGGAGAAAACGUUCUGAGCUGAGGCGCGAGUCCGACCUUCUACGGAAGGGAAGUGGUGGAUGUCAUGCUUCCAAGAAAAGCUCUAAACACCNUANAUCAUCAAUGCCUGUANCCAGAAAMUGACACNGNAGKUGGGGGGGUAGAGGUAWASCACKGGKCGYGAGAUNNCUCUCUCUNANGAANNNNGCAAAAUGGCCCCC
rnacentral:rRNA from 1 species